rfam:Glossina pallidipes unplaced genomic scaffold Scaffold29, whole genome shotgun sequence.
GGGGGUUAGUUUUAGCACGUAGGCGCCAUGGAUGACGAAUCGUGCAUGCUGCUGAUACGGGCAUCUUUUAAAGAUUUCUUCCUCC